UCAGUAACACGUAGUCAACAUGCCCAGGGGACGUGGAUAACCUCGGGAAACUGAGGACUAAACCGCGACUAAGUCACUACUUCUGGAAUGGGUAGUGACUUAAAUCUAUAUGGCCCCUGGAUUGGACUGCGGCCGAUCAGGCUGUUGGUGAGGUAACUGGCCCACCAAACCUGUAACCGGUACGGGCUCUGAGAGGAGGAGCCCGGAGAUGGGCACUGAGACAAGGGACCAGGCCCUAUGGGGCGCAGCAGGCGCGAAACCUCUGCAAUAGGCGAAAGCCUGACAGGGUUAACUCUGAGUGAUUUCCGUUAAGGAGAUCUUUGGCACCUCUAAAAAAUGGUGCAAGAAUACGGGGUGGGCAAGUC
rnacentral:rRNA from 1 species